UGUGGUUCUCGGGUGACGCACCUGGAACCAGAGAGGAGGGAGCCUGAUUCCAGGGUGUGUCACCUGAGAACCACC
rfam:Myotis lucifugus cont2.7845, whole genome shotgun sequence.